CAAUAGCGUAUAUUAAAGUUGUUGCGGUUAAAAAGCUCGUAGUUGGAUUUCUGUCGAGGGAGAUCGGUCCGAUCUACGAUCGCGUAUCUGAUACUCGCUCGGCAUCCGGAAGUUUAAGGCUGUUGCUUUACUGCAAUAUCCGUAGGCUUCUCUUUUACUUUGAGGAAAUUAGAGUGUUCACGGCAGGCAAUCGCCCUGAAUACAUUAGCAUGGAAUAAUAAUAUAGGACUUCAGUUCUAUUUUGUUGGUUUCUAGAGCUGAGGUAAUGAUUAAUAGGGACAAUUGGGGGCAUUCGUAUUAUCACGUCAGAGGUGGAAUUCUUGGAUUGUGUUACGACGAACUACUGCGAAAGCAUUUGCCAAGGAUGUUUNCAUUGA
rnacentral:rRNA from 1 species